GAUGAACGCUGGCGGCGUGCCUAAUACAUGCAAGUCGAGCGAACAGACGAGGCGCUUGCUCCUCUGACGUUAGCGGCGGAAGGGUGAGUAACACGUGGAUAACCCACCUAUAAGACUGGGAUAACUUCGGGAAACCGGAGCUAAUACCGGAUAAUAUAUUGAACCGCAUGGUUCAAUAGUGAAAGACGGUUUUGCUGUCACUUAUAGAUGGAUCCGCGCCGCAUUAGCUAGUUGGUAAGGUGACCGCUUACCAAGGCAACGAUUCGUAGCCGACCUGAGAGGGUGCUCGGCCACACGGGAACUGGGCCACCCUCCAGACUCCUACGGCAGUCAGCAGUAGGGAAUCUUCCGCCAUGGGCGAAGGCCUGACGGUGCAACGCCGCGUGAGUGAUGAAGGUCUUCGGCUCGUAAAACUCUGUUAUUCGGGAAGAACCAAUGUGUAAGUAACUAUGCACGUCUUGACGGUACCUAGUCAGAAAGCCACGGCUAACUACGUG
rnacentral:rRNA from 1 species